ensembl:antisense
AAGGCCUAUUCACUUGUGGUUCCUUCUUCCUGAGAUAAGGAAUGCUCCAGAGAGGAGCACAAAAAGGGGGUUACAGACAGGAGUGUGGGUGCUCCCUCCCAAAGGCUCCACCGGAGUCAUUGCUUUCCCAUAGUUGCAGAAUGGAGGCCUCACCUAGGUCUCACCAGCAACGCACUCUAGCCUUGCUCUGCACAGCAGUCAGGGCAGAACUGCAUGGAAUGACUAGAUACUCAGAUGAUGUACAGACCUUCAGAGAAAUCUGGACUGAUACCCCGAGUGCUGAGACCAUGAAGACAGGACACUUUUGGGGGACAGGAUGUUCUCUCACUGUACUCCUUAAAACUUUUCAGCUUGCCCUCUAGAGAUCAAAUCUUCAAUACACAUUUACCACAGAGAAA